rnacentral:rRNA from 2 species
GCGAGAAAAACUUUAGCAAUGUGCGAAAAGACACGACAAGGUUAAUCCGAGUGGUUUGUGCUAAAACGAAACCUUUUGUACAGUCCUAGAAACACUGUUGAAUAAGGGGUGGGGCAAGUUCUGGUGUCAGCCGCCGCGGUAAAACCAGCACCUCAAGUGGUCAGGAUGAUUAUUGGGCCUAAAGCAUCCGUAGCCCGAUCUAUAAGUUUUCGGUUAAAUCUAUGCGCUUAACGUAUAGGCUGCCGGAAAAUACUGCAAAGCUAGGGAGUGGGAGAGGUAGACGGUACUCGGUAGGAAGGGGUAAAAUCCUUUGAUCUAUUGAUGACCACCUGUGGCGAAGGCGGUCUACCAGAACACGUCCGACGGUGAGGGAUGAAAGCUGGGGGAGCAAACCGGAUUAGAUACCCGGGUAGUCCCAGCUGU